rnacentral:lncRNA from 1 species
CACAAGUGGCAAAUCAGUUCAAGAAACCUUGGGUUCUUGAUCCUGUUGCUGCUGGUGGAUCAAGUUUUAGGUUGAAGGCGUGUUUGGAGUUGCUUGGUUUGAAGCCUAGUGUUGUUAGAGGCAAUGCUUCUGAGAUACUUGCUCUUUUUAAAGGUUGUGUAGACUCUACUUCCAAGGUAAGACAAUGUGAGGUCGUAUGGUAGCUUGUUAGAAUUUUGCAGGUACUAGUUAUGCGCAUAUUAGUUAUGCAUGUAUUAGUUAUGAUGAUUCAGUUAGUUGAUGAAAUGCCUGAAUUUACUCCAAAAGCCCUUGGAGUUUGCAUAAAUGCUGGAACACUUGCACCUGACUGGUUACCUGGUAUGAAGUUGGCUGCACAAGUUGCAAAUCAGUUGAAGAAACCUUGGGUUCUUGAUCCUGUUGCUGCUGGUGGAUCAAGUUUUAGGUUGAAGGCGUGUUUGAAGUUGCUUGGUUUGAAGCCUAGUGUUGUUAGAGGCAAUGGGUCUGAGAUUCUUGCUCUUUUUAAUGGUUGUGUUGAUUCAAAUUCUAAGGUAAGACAAUAUAAGGUCGUGUGGUAGCUUGUUAGAAUUAUGCAGGUAUUAGUAAUACG